CACUUGGAUUGGGAAUGGCACAGAGCUGUAUGUCACUUUCAGGAUAUGACAAAUAAUUGGAGGUGCUAAGGCACAGGGUUUAUAUAGCGGAAGUGGGAGAUGAGAUAUGUUUAUUCAUUUAUUCAACAUUUAUUGAACAUUUACUAUGUGCCAGUUCCUCCUAUGCUGGGCACUGUGUGUACAACAAACAAAAGUAGUCCUUGCCCCUAUGGGAUGGACAGUCUAUCAGGAAGUCACAUAUUAAGCAAACAGCUGAUGUCAGAGUUUGAACCACAUUCUAGUAAGCGUCUUAAUCCCACAGGUGUUCAGAGAGCUAACUCAAGUGGCUGAUGUAAAAUGGCUGAAGGAAGGGAGGGACCAGAGGCAGGAAGAUAAAUUAGAAAGCCACUGAAAAAGAACGAGGAGGUUCUGAAUUAGAGCAGUGACUAGGGGAAUGGAGUGGAGGGUCAGACUCUCGAGUUUUCGCUGACAGGUUCAGGUGACUGACUGGAAGUGAUCCUGAGGUUUUAGCACAGACAACCAUGGGUAGCCUUACCCUCCCACAAUCUGGGGGAAGCAAAGAGUUCAGUGUGGAAGAACAUUAAACCCUGAAUCUUCCUCAUGGUGAAAAGCAAGGUAGCAUCGGUCAAAGGCAAGGAAAAGAAGCGGCGGGAGGCCAGAGAGAGCAGCUCAGGAGACACAGCAUCUGUCGUACCCUGUUCUCCAGUCAAUUUGUGGCCUCCACCCUCUGGGUUCAUCUAAUCAGAGAGCACAAAUACUCAGAGCGACAGGCUCGCCUCUCCCCAUCCUCUGCCACAGGGGACGGGGUAUUCAUCAGCGUGGCUUGUAGAAGGGCCACCAGAAAAUCGAAUAGUUGUGGAGUGUCAUGCAUUUAACAACUCCCCCCUUACUAUAGUUGCUCUGGGCAUUUUCUUUCCCCAUCCUAAGAGCCCCACCUGCUCCAACAUCCUCCACCAACAAAAUUGCAAUUGACCUUAUUCAAACACCUCAUUGCUACCUGAGGGGGCCAACGCAAAAAUAAUCAAAUCUACAGCUUUCUAGAAGGCAGCUCAUAAUCUGAGCCUAGUGCCUCAGGCCAGGAAAGAGUAGGGAGGGACAUGUGAGUGUGUAGGGUGUGGGCAUAAGCAAGGCAGUGGAAGCUCUUUCUAAUACUAACAUGAGCCAUAAGGAGCUAUUAGAGGGCUCAAGGGGAGGGGGAAUGACAACAAAGUCCUCAUAUUAUUUUCUCUAAUCUUGACAAAAACAAAGCCAGGGUUUUCAGUCCCAGCCUUAGUCCUCCCCACACUGAGCCCUCCCCCACUGGCCUGGAGCAUUGUUCCUUCACUCAGCCGGGACACAGAGCACUACGCUGAUGAGCUGAUUUUUAUGCUUCUCUUCCUCAAGCCAAAAGCAGGUGGCAUCCGUUAACAGCUGAACUGUCGCUACUUCUUAAUGGACGUGGCAAUAAAAAAAAAAAAAAAAAAAAGGGAAAGAAAGAAGGGAAGGGAAGGGAAGGGAAGGGAAGGGAAGGGAGAGAAGAGAAGAGAAGAGAAGAGAAGAGAAGAGAAGAGAAGAGAAGAGAAGAGAAGAGAAGAGAAGAGAAGAGAAGAGAAGAGAAGAGAAGAGAAGAGAAGAGAAGAGAAGAGAAGAGAAGAGAAGAGAAAAACCACCCCAGUGACAGCACUUUCACAUAAUCAGGUUGGGGGAAGGAGCCUGGGUUGAAGUGGGAAGGGGGAGAGGGGGGCUGAAUAAGGAAAUCAAUUUCAGCCUGAAAGCUCUGAAAGGAGAGGGGAUGUGUGAAUGGCUUUUUAAGUGGCAUCAUUAAACCUGGGCAGAAAGGUCGAUUGGGCAGAGCAAACCGCAUAAAUACAAACAGAUGACAUUUAUGUCUAGCAGAA